rnacentral:rRNA from 1 species
UACGGAGGGAGCUAGCGUUAUUCGGAAUUACUGGGCGUAAAGCGUACGUAGGCGGCUUUGUAAGUUAGAGGUGAAAGCCUGGAGCUCAACUCCAGAACUGCCUUUAAGACUGCAUCGCUUGAAUCCAGGAGAGGUGAGUGGAAUUCCGAGUGUAGAGGUGAAAUUCGUAGAUAUUCGGAAGAACACCAGUGGCGAAGGCGGCUCACUGGACUGGUAUUGACGCUGAGGUGCGAAAGCGUGGGGAGCAAACAGG